AGUGAACGCUGGCGGUAGGCCUAACACAUGCAAGUCGAACGGCAGCACAGUAAGAGCUUGCUCUUACGGGUGGCGAGUGGCGGACGGGUGAGGAAUACAUCGGAAUCUACUUUUUCGUGGGGGAUAACGUAGGGAAACUUACGCUAAUACCGCAUACGACCUACGGGUGAAAGCAGGGGAUCUUCGGACCUUGCGCGAUUGAAUGAGCCGAUGUCGGAUUAGCUAGUUGGCGGGGUAAAGGCCCACCAAGGCGACGAUCCGUAGCUGGUCUGAGAGGAUGAUCGGCCACACUGGAGCUGGGACACGGUCCAGACUCCUACGGGAGGCAGCAGUGGGGAAUAUUGGACAAUGGGCGCAAGCCUGAUCCAGCCAUACCGCGUGGGUGAAGAAGGCCUUCGGGUUGUAAAGCCCUUUUGUUGGGAAAGAAAAGCAGCAGGUUAAGACCCCGCUGUUCUGACGGUACCCAAAGAAUAAGCACCGGCUAACUUCGUG
rnacentral:rRNA from 1 species